AUUGAACGCUGGCGGCAUGCCUUACACAUGCAAGUCGAACGGCAGCACGGGUGCUUGCACCUGGUGGCGAGUGGCGAACGGGUGAGUAAUACAUCGGAACGUGUCCUGUAGUGGGGGAUAGCCCGGCGAAAGCCGGAUUAAUACCGCAUACGAUCUACGGAUGAAAGCGGGGGACCUUCGGGCCUCGCGCUAUAGGGUUGGCCGAUGGCUGAUUAGCUAGUUGGUGGGGUAAAGGCCUACCAAGGCGACGAUCAGUAGCUGGUCUGAGAGGACGACCAGCCACACUGGGACUGAGACACGCCCAGACUCCUACGGGAGGCAGCAGUGGGGAAUUUUGGACAAUGGGCGAAAGCCUGAUCCAGCAAUGCCGCGUGUGUGAAGAAGGCCUUCGGGUUGUAAAGCACUUUUGUCCGGAAAGAAAUCCUUGGCCCUAAUACGGUCGGGGGAUGACGGUACCGGAAGAAUAAGCACCGGCUAACUACGUG
rnacentral:rRNA from 1 species